rnacentral:lncRNA from 1 species
UUUAACAUUGAUAUAAUCAUUUAUUUAAUUUUCAAUUUAAACAAAUGAACCAAUAAUAAUAAAUAUAAGUUUAAAUGAGCUAAAAUGACAAAGAUGAGUGCAUGAGUAUGAAGGAAAUGAUAAAACAAUAAGAUAUGAUUAAAAUAAUUAAAAUAAUAAUAAUAAUAAAAAAACUAUAAACAAAAUAAAUGAUAAAUAGGAUGCAAGAGACAUAAAUAGAUAUGAGUUUAGCAAACAAAAUAAAAAAUAAUAAUAUAACAAAAAAUACCUAAGGCCCAACUUAACCAAACAAAAAAAAUAUAGUAAAAAAGAAACAAGACAAAAUUGAGAGAUUUCUUCCCCCAUCCCCCAAUUAAAACUAGUACCCCCAAUACGUAUGAAAAGAUAACAUUUUCCUUGCAAAAUAACUUCACUUAUUUCCCAAAUUUACAUGAUUCAAAUGAAUUUUUGAAAAUUCUGGAGUGAUACCAGAAAUUUCGAAACAACUACCGAAAA